UACAGAGGUCCCAAGCGUUGUUCGGAUUCACUGGGCGUAAAGGGUGCGUAGGUGGUGAGGUAAGUCGGAUGUGAAAUCUCCAAGCUCAACUUGGAAACUGCAUUGGAAACUACCUUGCUAGAGGAUUUGAGGGGGGAUUGGAAUACUUGGUGUAGCAGUGAAAUGCGUAGAUAUCAAGUGGAACACCAGUGGCGAAGGCGGGUCUCUGGGCCGAUACUGACGCUGAGGAGCGAAAGCGUGGGGAGCGAACAGG
rnacentral:rRNA from 1 species